GGCGUAAGAGCUCGUAGGCGGUUUGUCGCGUCUGCUGUGAAAGACCGGGGCUCAACUCCGGUUCUGCAGUGGGUACGGGCAGACUAGAGUGAUGUAGGGGAGACUGGAAUUCCUGGUGUAGCGGUGAAAUGCGCAGAUAUCAGGAGGAACACCGAUGGCGAAGGCAGGUCUCUGGGCAUUAACUGACGCUGAGGAGCGAAAGCAUGGGGAGCGAACAGGAUUAGAUACCCUGGUAGUCCAUGCCGUAAACGUUGGGCACUAGGUGUGGGGGACAUUCCACGUUUUCCGCGCCGUAGCUAACGCAUUAAGUGCCCCGCCUGGGGAGUACGGCCGCAAGGCUAAAACUCAAAGGAAUUGACGGGGGCCCGCACAAGCGGCGGAGCAUGCGGAUUAAUUCGAUGCAACGCGAAGAACCUUACCAAGGCUUGACAUGAACCGGUAAUACCUGGAAACAGGUGCCCCGCUUGCGGUCGGUUUACAGGUGGUGCAUGGUUGUCGUCAGCUCGUGUCGUGAGAUGUUGGGUUAAGUCCCGCAACGAGCGCAACCCUCGUUCUAUGUUGCCAGCGCGUUAUGGCGGGGACUCAUAGGAGACUGCCGGGGUCAACUCGGAGGAAGGUGGGGACGACGUCAAAUCAUCAUGCCCCUUAUGUCUUGGGCUUCACGCAUGCUACAAUGGCCGGUACAAAGGGUUGCGAUACUGUGAGGUGGAGCUAAUCCCAAAAAGCCGGUCUCAGUUCGGAUUGNGGUCUGCAACUCGACCCCAUGAAGUCGGAGUCGCUAGUAAUCGCAGAUCAGCAACGCUGCGGUGAAUACGUUCCCGGGCCUUGUACACACCGCCCGUCAAGUCA
rnacentral:rRNA from 1 species